rnacentral:lncRNA from 10 species
AUUGGAUGCAAAUGAAUGCUUCCAUCAAGAUCCACGGGAAAGAUGAGUAAGUACAAAUAAAGCUGUUUGAAGGAAUUGGCAAAUACCAAGGCAAACAACUGGCAAAUAAUCAAGGCAAGACUUGAUAAAUAUAAAACACAGAAAGCACGCUAACACCCUACAGAUGCAUUUUCUCUCAUGGAAUUUGCCAACUUUGGACAGAGGAGAGGAUCGAUAACUCAAGCCAAGGUGCAGUGCUGAGAAGCAGAGACAGCAACAAAGAGUUGUGCGCCUUGGACUGAAGAGACGACACCUAGUAUUUGACGUGGGAGCCCAUGGGAUGGUCAAGUUCCCAAUAAAAAGAGACACAGAAAAGUACAGGAUAAGUAGACUGUCUGCAACAUGGAAGAGGGUCCUCACCAGAACUUAACCACACUCAUACCCAUAUCUUGGACUUCUAACCUUCAGAAUGGUAAGAAGUAAGUUUUUGGUUUUUGUAAGCAACACAGUCUAUGGUAAUUUGUUUAUAACAGCCAUGCUCACUAAGACAGAAGUUGGUACCAAUAAGUUGGGUGGUUCUGGAAAAAAUAUCUGAAAUUGUGGAAGAGCUUUGGAACUGAGUCAUGGGUAGAAGCUGGAAGAAUUUUGAAGUGCAUGCUAGAAAAACCUAAGAUUGUCACUGAAGGGAAUUAAGUGGAUCUGGUAAAGACUCAAAAGGAAAAGAUGGGAGCUUUAAGGAAAGCUUUAUUCAUCUUAAAGCAUACAUGAAUACUUACGUACAGAAUGUUGCUAGAAAUAUGGAAAAUAAGUUCUUUUUUUUUUUCUUGGCAGAAUCUCGCUCUGUUGCCCAGGCUGGAGUGCAAUGGCACAAUCUCGGCUCACUGCAACCUCCGCCUCCCAAGUUCAAGCAAUUAUCUGCCUCAGCCUCCCGAAUAGCUGGGAUUACAGUCGCCUGCCACUACGCAAGGUUAAUUUUUGUAUUUUUAGUAGAGAUGAGGUUUCACCAUCUUGGCCAGGCUGGUCUUGAACUCCUGACCUCGUGAUCCACCCGCCUCAGCCUCCCAAAGUGCUGGGAUUACAGGCGUGAGCCACCAUGUCCUGGCUCCUUCUUCUUUAUUUCUCCAUUUUGGAAUGGCAAUGUCUAUCUUAUUUCUGUCACACCAUUUUUUUUUAGAAGCGCAUAACUUGUUUAAUGUGAUGGUUAGUUUUAGGUAUCAACUUGACCGAAUUAAGAAAUAGCUAGAGAGCUAGUAAAGCAUGAUAUCUGGGUGUGUCUGUGUGUGGCAGUGUUUGCAGAGGAGACAGGUGAAUGAGUCAGUGGAAUGGGUGGGGAAGAUCUGUCCUUAAUAUGGGCAGGCAUCAUCCAACUGGCUGUGGGCCCAGACAGAACAAAAAGUCAAAUGAAAGGCAAUUUAUUUUUCUCUGUCUUGGAACUGGGACACCAGUCUUCUCCUAUCUUUGAACAUUAGAAUUGCAGGCUCUUUUGCUUUUCAACCCCAGGACUUAUACCAGUAACCUCCUGGGGUUCUCAGGCCUUCAGCCUUGGCCUGAGAGUUACACCAUCACUGCCCUGGUUCUGAGGCUUUUGGCCUUGACUGAGUCAUGCUACUGGCAUUUUAGGGUCUGCAACUUGCAGACGGCAAGCUGUUAUAAGACCUUUUCAGAAUCACAUGGGCCAAUUCCUCUAAUAAAUUUCUUCUCAUAUUUUUUCUUCCUUCCUUCAUUCCUUCCUUCCUCUCUCUCCCUCUUUCUUUUUCUUUUCUUUUCUUUCCUUCCCUUCCUCCCUUCCUCCCUCCCUCCCUCCCUCCCUCCCUCCCUCCCUCCCUGCCUGCCUUCCUUUCUUCCUUCCUUCCUUUCUCUUUCUUUCUUUCUUUCUGUUUCUUUCGGUGUUUCUUUCUUUCCUUCCUUCCUUCCUUCCUUCCUUCCUUCCUUCCUUCCUUCCUUCCUUCCUUCCUUCCUUUCUUUCCUUCCUUCCUUCUUUCUUUCUCUUCUUUCUUUCUUUUCUCUCUCUCUUUUCUUUUCUUUUUCUAUCAAUUUACCUGUCCAUCUAUCUAUCUUAUUAGCUUUAUCUCUCUGAAGAGCCCUAAAAAAUACAUGAGAGUUUACAGUUUCACAGCUAGAUAAGAAUUUUGUCUGAGGAACAUUUGUACCUCAAAUCCUAAUCAUAUUGAAUUCAGACAAGACUUUGGACUUUUAACUUUACAGUUGAUGUUGGAGUGAGUUAAUUUUGGGCCUAUUGAGAUGAAAUGAAUGCAUUUGCAUGUAGAAAGCACAUGAAUUCUGGGAAGCCAGAAGUGGAAUGCAAUGAACUGAAUGUUUGUGUUCUCCCAAAAUGCAUAUGUAGAAAAUUUAAUCUCAAUGUGAUGGUAUUUGGGAGUAGGGAUUUUGGAAGGUAAUUAGGUCACGAAAGUAAAACCCUCGGGAAUAAGAUUUGUGACCUUAGAAGAGGCCAGUUAGCUUCCUCGCUUUUUAACUUGUGAGGACACAGGAAGAAGAUGGUCCUUCAAAACUAGAAAGAAGUUCCUCAUCAAAAUCCCAACCAUGCUGGAACCCUGAUCUCAGACUUCCAGCAUCCAAAAUUGUAAAAAUUAAAAAUGUUUGUUGUUUAAGUUAUCUGGUCUAUAGCAAUUUGUCAUAGCAACCUGGACUAAGACAAACACGCAUGGUGAAGUUUAAUAAAAUAAUGAAAGUACAUAUUGUACUUGACUAUUUCAUUUUCAUAUUAAAAUCUUUUUACUAAAAAACUGAAAUUUUCUUUACAAAAACCAGGAGUCCUAAGAUUGAUAUAAUUUUAUUUUAAUUAGUGCAUUUGCUAAUUUCACCUUUUAUAAAUAAACUCAUACUUUGGAGAGUUUUCCAUUAUGAGGUUUUAUUUAUACAUUUAUUCGACAAAUAUAUGUGGAAUUUGUUCAACAGCUAAUAUUAAUCAGAUGUUACCUUAGUCUGUUUGAUCAAAGUGAAUGCAAUAGACACAGCCUUAUUCAACUUUCAAUCCAGAGGGAUAGUUAGCCAGUAAAAAAAUGUAAUAAAAAAGAUAUCCUUUAUUUCACUCAUACUAAAAUACACAUAAUUUUAAUGUACGUUUUAACAUCUCUGAACUUAGUAUUCAUUGCCUGAUUAAUAGAAUAUUCCUGUUGCUGUGGUCCAGAAUGCAGUCUUUUAGUAAAAGUUAUUAUCUACCUAUAUAUAUAUUGGUUUAGGCUGUUUAUAUAUCAUCAAAGCAGUGGAAUUAGGUAUUAUUUUAUUUGAAAAAUGCCCCAAAUAUUAGGAAAAGUAAUUCACAGAUAUAACAGUGCCUUUCAAUAAAAUAAAAAUAAAAUACAAUAAAGGAAAGGGAAUUUCCCUUCAACUUACAAAUGAAAGAAAGAGCUGCCUACUGGGCAAAGGAUAAGGGAAAUGAUUGAACCAGCUGAAAUUUAUAAGAAGUGGAUGUGAUAAGGCAGCCCUGCUUGGUAUAGACAGAGGUGUCAACAAUUAAAGAACACACUCAUGAAAAAGUGUCUGCUUGUUACUCCUAGUGUAGUAUCUGGAAAGCUACAUCCAUUGGUAUUUCAGCACACAGGAUAUUUCAGAACUAUUUGAAGAAGAAGUAAGAGUGCAGAAUCUCGAUGACUCCUGCUAAGAUUCAGAACAUGCUGACUUCAAAAUUUGCAAAAUAUGUGCCAACAGCUGACUUAAAAAUUGGGAAACAUAGGCAAAGCAAUAUUUGAAUAAAUUAUUUCUUUCUUUCCUGCAUUUGCCAAUCCCUUAACAGUGGGAAGGACAUUGUUGCAUGAAAAACAUGAACAGCAAUAUCUGCAUCAAAAUACAACUUAGGAAAGUUGAACUUCGAAUUCAAGGUUUAGGUUAAAGUUAAGGUUAAACUUCACCAUUUAUUUUACAUAUAGUUACAUUUUUACAUGGAUAAGAUAAUAAUUGUUGAAUAAGAUUCAAAGUAUCCUUUUCUAAAGUCUAAAAAAUUAUGGGUGAUACAAAAGCAAUAUAUCAUUAUGUAGCAAAGUUGCUGUUUUCCCAGCACCAUAUGCAAUAACUCUGGGCCACCAAUGAGAUACCAGCUUAAUGAAAUAUACGGUAAUUUAAAUAUCUGCUUGAAGAAAACUGGGUAAGGGAUAAUACUCUAAGAUGGAGAAUGCUUUGCAAAGAAUUAUCAGGCGAGUUUUUUGAUAAAGUGACAUUUAUUUUAAGAACUGAAGAAUAAGAAGAGUUUGCUUUGAAAUUAUAGAUUUGUCAUAGAAUUUGCCCAAAUGUAGUCAAUUCUGAGGAAAAAGGAGACACUCUUUAAAAUGUUGGGUCUUACCCAGAAAACCAAUGAGCAUGAUCAUGCUAAACAAAAUAGAAGUGAAGACUGUGGAAGGCAGAGGAAAAUCUGCAAUAAUGGAGAAAAAGUUUGGCAUGUAAGUGUAACCCAAGACCAUUUUCCUAGACUCUAAUAGAAAUGGAGAGAGUGCUAUUGAGAUGAAGUACAAAUGACAAAUGGGACAAGAGAAAGCAUUGACCUUACUAGCCUAAUGUAAAGAGCCAAUGCUUUAUUCCAAGUGCAGUAUAAAAAUAUUUUAGUUGAAAUAUUCUAGCUACUUUGUGGAGAAUGGAUUGGAAGGAUCAAGAGAGACAUCUAGAGAUGAGUUUGGAGGCUAUUGCAAUAAGCCAUAGAAGAGAUCAACUAAGGUGAAGACAGUGGAGAUCAGAAAAAAGUGGAUAGAUUAUAAAUAAAAUAAUAAAAUAUAAGAAAGACUGAUGCUUGAAUAUAAUGGCUGAGGUAGAAAAAGUAACUGAAAAAUUGCUCCAAUUUUUCUUGCAUGAAUAUCUGGAUGAAUUCCAGCACUAUUUUCUGAUAUGUAGUAUUUUCAAGGAGAAAAAGAUUUGGGGAGAGAAAUGACCAUUUCUACUUAGUAUAUGCUUACAAUGCAUGAAAGACAUCUACAUGAAGAUGUCAAGUAUAAAUUUAGAUAUACGAGACUGGUACUCAGAGGAAAAGUUAAGGCUAAAGAGGUAACAGAAGAACGCAUCAGCACAAUAUGUUGGCUAAAGCAACAAACCAACAAACUGUUUAUUUUACCUAAGGAGAUGGUAGAAAAAGAUAAGAAAACAAAGAUCUGAUGUAUGCCAAUGAAAUAGGGAAAUCUGUAAAAAGGUCUGGCAAAGUAAGGUGAACAAAACAUAUAUGUAAAACCACUAAAGAUCUUCAUUUCAGGGAACCCAAGAAGAUUAUUGCAAGAGAAAGAAAGAAUGGUUGAAUUUAUCAAUUGCUGUUGAAUCAUUUAAUAAGAUGAGACUUUUGAGAUCAAUUGCCUAACCAAGGAUGACUGCAAAGACUAGUAUCACGAAAAAAUGUGUUCUUGGCACAAUAUUGUCAAGACCAAAAGUGUUUUACCUUUAGUUUUCUAGGUAUUGUUUGUAUGUUACAAUAUAAAUGUUAUAAUACCCUGAUAAGUGUUUUUCUGGUCUACUUAUAAAGAGUUGAGAUUUUAUUAACCCGAGAGGCAAAAACAAAUGGCGACAUAACUUUCCAAAAUUAGGAUAUGGAUGGGUGCACCACUGAUAUGGUUUGGCUCUGUGUCUGCACCCAAAUCCCAUUUCAUAUUGUAAUCCCCACAUGUCGAGGGAGGUGCUUGGUGGGAGGAUAUUGGAUCAUGGGGAUGGUUUCUCCUAUGUUGUUAUCAUGAUAAUGAGUGAGUUCUCACAAGAGCUGGUGGUUUUAAAAAUGUUUGACAGUUUCCUUCUUGUGCUGUCUGUCCUGCCUCCAUGUAAGAUGUGCCUGCUUCCCCCUUACCUUCUGCUAUGAUUGUAAGUUUCCUGAGGCCUCCCCAGCCAUGUAGAGCUGUGUCAAUUAAACCUCUUUUGUUUACAAAUUAAAUUACCAACUCUCAGGUAGUAUCUUUACAGCAGUGUGAAAAUGGACUAACACAAAAACUCUUUUGGAAUGUCUAAUGAUUACAAUAAUGAGCCACAUUUUCCCAGCUAUUGUAAAUAAUAGUAAUACUACUGUUACUGAUAGUACUAAUGACAAUAUGUAUUCAUUUCAGCCAUCAAAAUGUAUAUGCACCUUCUCUCAAAAAAUCUCAUUUAAAUGGCAGGAAUAUAUUCAGCUGUCUAUCUUGAAAGAUACAGAAGAAAUCUGUAAAAUGUAAUACACCAGAAAGAUUUUGGAAUUCCCCAGAUAUAAAAGGAAUUGUUGUUAAAUUCCUAAGUUCUGCCAUUUCAUAGAAAACUCCAGAGCUGCAAGCUCAAUGUUUGCCUUGACAAUUACUGGACAUGAAGGAAUGUCCUGGAGAGCCACCCUGCAGGUAGCAUGCAUGUUGAGGACUUUUAUCUUGGAAGAUUUCUUGGUAAGUCCUUGAAGUUCAUUUAUAAAUCUGUUUGCCACACGUGAGAAAUUCUUCUAAUGCAGUUAACAACUCCCUAGAAUUCACCUCAAUGGUUCUCAGUACUUAACAUGAUUAAGAAACUUAUUAGAUGUGUUGUUUACAUAAAUCCAUAUCUGGGCCUAGGCAUCUGCAUUUUGACCAUAAAAAUAGGUGAUUUUUAUGCAGGCAGCCUAGUGUCCACAUAAAAACUUAGACCUAGAUUAUUUUUUCUAUGUGAUUUGUCACAUCUCAAAUUUUUAAUGAAUUAAUUUGUUUUUACUUUUACACAGUGUCUAGUUCUGUUGCCCUGGAGUGCAGUGCAGCUUGAAGUGCAAUGGUGCAAUCAUAGCUCACUGCAGCCUUGAAUGCCUGGGUCCAAGCAAUCCUCCUGCCUCAGCCUCCUGAGUAACUAGGACAACAGGUGUGCACCACCACACCUGGCUAAAUUAUUGUAUUUUAAAUUGUUUGCAGAAACAGUGUCUUGCCAUGUUGCCCAGGCUGGUCUCAAACUCCUGGUUUCAAGUGAUCCUCCUGCCUUGGUGUCUCAAAAUGCUGGGAUUACAAGAGUGAGCCACAUACCCAGCCAGUUCUCAGCUUUUUAUGCUUAUAUUUUUUUCCUGAAAAUCUUUAUGUCUAUCUUGAAUUUCUGGACGACUUUUAGCACCAUGAUUGGAAAGGUUCGUAUUCAGAUAUUUCUAAUUAGGGCUUAUCAUCUGUAUAUUGGACUAACUGCAUUCACAUAGAAUGGAGCUUUUCUGAAGUGAAGUUGAUAGCAACUCUGCCAGAUUGGUUGAACAGAGAUCAACCUCACUUUUCAUUGAAAAAAAAAUAAUUACCAGAAACAUAAAAUAACCACUUAUAACUUAACUUACACUUUUUAUUACAGAAAUGUAUUUAAAUAUAUUACCUUAUGCUAUUGAAGUUUUAUGUCUAAAAUUAUUGAAUUAAUACAAAUCUUGGUUAUCGGUGACAGAAUAAAAGCUUCAUGAAAGUAGGUACUAUUGUAUCUCUAGCGCCUGGAAGUGUGCCUGAUUAAAAAGUAAGGAAGAAUGAAAACAAAAUAAUAAAGUAAAAAAAGGGAAAGGGAGGUAAGAGGAGGGCAGGGGAGGAGGAGAUGAGAGAAGACAAAAGGAAAGGAAAAGGUAAAGAUAAGGAAAGGGGAAAGGAAAGUAGAAAGGAAAGAGGAAAGAAAAGGAAAAAGGGAAAAAAAGAUUACCAGUGCAGCUAAGUGUGUAACUGAUUAAACUAAAAUAUCCCUAGGCAUUUUUUUCCCAGCAGGAAAAACACAUUUAGUGUAACUCCUGUGUUUCAGUAUAGCUUUUUUUUUUUUUAUCCCAAUGUCUUUUCCUAUACUUAAAGAACCCUAGACAGCUAUUUAUUUUCCCUAAUACUCCAUUGUGAAGCGCUUUCCUCAUCCUGGAGUGCAUUUGAAUUAAAGUACCAUAUGCUAUUCUGAAGAGCUUGUUUCUAUAAAGUGUUCAUUAUGAUCGUGAGCACCCUUUUUCAAUUUUUGUUGCUGCUGUGUGGUACAGUUGGAGCCAAACUAAAUAAUGUGAGAAUGAAUGUGUAUUCGUGUGUGUUUUUGUGUGUGUGCAUGCAUGUGCGUGUGUUUUCUUGACCUAUAGCUGUAUCUUUCCAUACGAUUCUAUUUUACUGAUUUCAAAGACGUAUUGCUAAUACAUCAAUUUGUUUAAUUCAAAUGAUUGAUCAAAGUGAAAUGUAAUAUAAAUGUACAAAGCUUUUAAGAAUCAGAUAUGUAACUGUAGAACUUUAAAUUCAACUGAUGUGUAAAAGAACAAUGUAAAAACAUAUAUUUGAAGGGAUAUUCAAUCUUCUGCAGUAAUAAAUUAGAUUUUGGCUGGGUGCAGAGGCUCAUGCCUAUAAUCCCAGCACUUUGGGAGGCCGAAGCAGGCAGAUCACAAGGUCAGGAG